rnacentral:rRNA from 1 species
UACGUAGGGAGCAAGCGUUGUUCGGAUUUACUGGGCGUAAAGGGCGCGUAGGCGGCGCGGUAAGUCACUUGUGAAAUCUCUGAGCUUAACUCAGAACGGCCAAGUGAUACUGCAGUGCUAGAGUGCAGAAAGGGCAAUCGGAAUUCUUGGUGUGGCGGUGAAAUGCGUAGAUAUCAAGAGGAACACCUGAGGCGAAGGCGGGUUGCUAGGCUGACACUGACGCUGAGGCGCGAAAGCCAGGGGAGCAAACGGG